rnacentral:ncRNA from 2 species
AAGGGAAUGUGGUCAAAUGCCGCAACAGCCCCCGCUACUGUAGGCACGGACAAUUGAUACAAUGCCACUUGAUAGUUAUCAGGGAAGGGUAUCAGGAGAAAGAAGUGCGAGUCAGGAUAUCU